UACUAAGCUGAUAACUUUCAAGAGGAAAAUCCGUCGACGUUUAUAAAUCGUGAGGGUUCAAGUCCCUCU
rnacentral:tRNA from 1 species